AUUGAACGCUGGCGGCAGGCCUAACACAUGCAAGUCGAACGGUAACAGGAAGCAGCUUGCUGCUUUGCUGACGAGUGGCGGACGGGUGAGUAAUGUCUGGGAAACUGCCUGAUGGAGGGGGAUAACUACUGGAAACGGUAGCUAAUACCGCAUAACGUCGCAAGACCAAAGAGGGGGACCUUCGGGCCUCUUGCCAUCGGAUGUGCCCAGAUGGGAUUAGCUAGUAGGUGGGGUAACGGCUCACCUAGGCGACGAUCCCUAGCUGGUCUGAGAGGAUGACCAGCCACACUGGAACUGAGACACGGUCCAGACUCCUACGGGAGGCAGCAGUGGGGAAUAUUGCACAAUGGGCGCAAGCCUGAUGCAGCCCUGCCGCGUGUAUGAAGAAGGCCUUCGGGUUGUAAAGUACUUUCAGCGGGGAGGAAGGGAGUAAAGUUAAUACCUUUGCUCAUUGACGUUACCCGCAGAAGAAGCACCGGCUAACUCCGUG
rnacentral:rRNA from 1 species